rnacentral:rRNA from 1 species
AGAGUUUGAUCCUGGCUCAGAACGAACGCUGGCGGCGUGGAUUAGGCAUGCAAGUCGAGCGAGAAAGGCUCCUUCGGGGGCUGAGUAAAGCGGCGAACUGGUGAGUAUAAGAUGGGUAACGUGCCCGGAUGUGGGGGAUAACCCGCCGAAAGGCGGACUAAUACCGCAUGUCCCCUUCGUUCCUUGGAAUGGAGGAAAAAGGCUCCGGGGCUUCGGCCCCGGCGUCGCGUCCGGAUCGGCCCAUUCCCCAUUAGCUUGUUGGUAGGGUAACGGCCUACCAAGGCUACGAUGGGUAGCUGGCCUGAGAGGGUGGUCAGCCACACUGGGACUGAGAUACGGCCCAGACUCCUACGGGGGGCAGCAGUCUAGAGGCUUCGGCAAUGGGCGAAAGCCUGACCGAGCGACGCCGCGUGUGGGAAGAAUGCUCUUGGGUUGUAAACCACUGUCAGGAGGGAAUAAGGCCCUGUUGGUAACGCUGCAGGGAUUGAAGGUACCUCCAGAGGAAGCACCGGCUAACUCCGUGCCAGCAGCCGCGGUAAUACGGAGGGUGCUAGCGUUGUUCGGAUUUAUUGGGCGUAAAGGGCACGUAGGCGGGCUGGUAAGUCUUCGGUGAAAUUUUCAUCGCUUAACGGGAAAAGGUCCGAGGAUACUGUCAGCCUAGAGAGCGGUAGAGGUGAGUGGAAUUCCUGGUGUAACGGUGGAAUGUUUAGAUAUCAGGAAGAACACCGGUGGCGAAGGCGACUCACUGGACGGUGUCUGACGCUGAUGUGCGAAAGCCAGGGGAGCGAACGGGAUUAGAUACCCCGGUAGUCCUGGCCGUAAACGGUGAGCACUAGGUGUGGGAGGAAUCGACCCCUUCUGUGCCGUAGCUAACGCAUUAAGUGCUCCGCCUGGGAAGUACGACCGCAAGGUUGAAACUCAGAGGAAUUGACGGGGGCCCGCACAAGCGGUGGAGCAUGUGGUUUAAUUCGAUGCAACGCGAAGAACCUUACCCGGGCUAAAACAGAGGGGAAAAGCAGCCGAAAGGCUGUGUGCCUUCGGGCGUCCUUCUGAGGUGCUGCAUGGCUGUCGUCAGCUCGUGUCGUGAGAUGUUGGGUUAAGUCCCGCAACGAGCGCAACCCUUGUCCUUAGUUACCAGCGCGUCAUGGCGGGGACUCUAAGGAGACCGCCCACGCAAGUGGGAGGAAGGUGGGGAUGAUGUCAAGUCCUCAUGGCCCUUAUGUCCGGGGCUACACACGUGCUACAAUGGCCGGUACAGCGAGUCGCAAGACCGUGAGGUGGAGCUAAUCUCUAAAAACCGGCCUCAGUUCGGAUUGGAGUCUGCAAUUCGACUCCAUGAAGUUGGAAUCGCUAGUAAUCCCGUAUCAGCUACAACGGGGUGAAUACGUUCCCGGGCCUUGUACACACCGCCCGUCACAUCACGGAAGUCGGCUGUUCCGGAAGUCGGUGUACCAAUCCGCUUCGGCGGAAGGAAGCUGCCGAUGGAAUGGUUGGUAACUGGGGUGAAGUCGUAACAAGGUA